AUGUAGAGAUAAUUUGUACCUUGUAGACACUUCAGAUAACUAAGCAAUACGAAUAUAAUUUUUUUUACAAUUUAUGUAUAUAUUUGGUGACAGAUUUACAAUAAGUCGCUACAUAUUUAGUCAUAGGUAACUACUGUACAUUCAAUAUAAAUUGUUCGUAUAAAAAUUAUUCCAAAAUAUAAGCAUAAUCUGUUUUAUUUUGUGGAUCUCACGGUAAGAAAUGAAAUGGUGAAAACCGAAUUUAAAAUGGACACAAAGUUAUCGUAUUGUUAGAGGCGAAACAAAAAGAAAAAUAGAUGAGCUGUAGUAGCCCACCUCCAUCAAGAGGUCUAGG
rnacentral:lncRNA from 1 species